AGCUUUGUUAUGGCUUGUUUUGUUAAUCUCGAAAGCUGUUUGGUUCGUUGUUUAAGUUUGCUUACUUAAGAGUUCUCUUGAGUUUGUUUAGGAUUUUAGUGCUUUUGUGAGUCUAGCGUGCGGAUCAUAAUAUUCUUACCAAAUUGGUUUAAUUUUCAGUUGUAAUUAGGAUGAUCAGUAUCGAAAAUAUAUAGUUGACUUUAGUUUCGCUAUUCGAUUAUGUAUUUGUGGUCCUAAUUUUCCUCUAAGGCUCUGUUUGGAUUGGGGGGGUGAGUGAAGGGUAAUUAAUGGAAGUAUCAGGGAGUGUAAGAAAGGGG
rnacentral:misc_RNA from 1 species